GCGUGUGACGCUGUUUCGUUGAGAAGCGAAACUACUUUGUUUGGCUUUCCAAAAGAGACACGACUAGAAAUCAUGUUUAUAUCAAGUUUAUAAUGGGGUUUAUGUUUAUGUUUCAUCGCUCCGGCGACAGGCAUCACAUAUGUUAAGGGGAUAACAUUUCCGUCACACGCUUGAAGCAUUCGACCAAUCACAAUGCACUGGAUAGCUGGCCAAUCAGAGCACACCUAGCUUUUCAGAGCUAUGAGCCUUGUAAAAUCAAAGCGUUUCAGAACUACUUGUUAUAAGUAUGGUAGAACCAUCCUUUCUACCACAAAGACCGCGUUGUAAGUAAUCUUCCUGAUUUAUCCCAAUUCCUUAGCAUAUUUAAAACUUCAGAACAACUUGAUGAUGUAACUAUGGACUCUCUCUUUUUUAGCAUUUUAAAUACAGUUGCUCAUUUACGCUUAAGGAAGAUUAAAGGGGUCAUAUGCUGCAAUUUCAAUUUUCCUUUCUCUUUGGAGUGUUACAAGCUCAUGGUGCAUAAAGAAGAUCUGUAAAGUUGCAAAGACUAAAGUCUCAAAUCCAAAGAGAUGUUCUUUAUAAAAGUGAAUACUCGUCUACGCCCCCCUAAAACGUCUCGUUCUAACACGCCCCCACAUCUCUACGUCACUAUGUGGGAAGAUUUGCAUAAUACCACCCAGAUGUUCACUCAAAGAAAGAAGGCGUACCUUUUAUUCUUGUUGUAGUAUUGUUGUUGCCGCAGCCGCCAUGUCGUAUAGAUGCUGUGUGUUUCACUGUGAAAGUGAAACUACUUUGUUUGGCCUUCCAAAAGAGGACGAUAUCUGCUUCGUCAUGCCUUUGCACUGUGGAUCUCCGAAUUGGCUUUCACUGUGGAUGAAGCAGAGUCCAGCCCGGGGUCGUAACAUGUGGUUGCUCCAAGCCCAAGGUACGCUCCUUCGUAGAAUCCGCCUGCCACGUCAUUCUCAAGCUGCCCGCCUCUGCUCACUCAAGCCGGCCUCCGCUCACUCAAGGCUGCCGCGUGUGACGCUGUUUCGUUGAGAAAGCGAAACUACUUUGUUUGGCUUUCCAAAAGAAGACACGACUAGAAAUCAUGUUUAUAUCAAGUUUAUAAUGGGGUUUAUGUUUAUGUUUCAUCGCUCCGGCCGGACAAGGCAUCACAAUAUGUUAAGGGGAGUAACAUUUCCGUCACACGCUUGAAGCAUUCGACCAAUCACAAUGCACUGGAUAGCUGGCCAAUCAGAGCACACCUAGCUUUUCAGAGCUAUGAGCCUUGUAAAAAUCAAAGCGUUUCAGAAGGUGGGGCAUAGAGGAGAAACAAUAAUGUACAGUAUGUGGAAAAUAAUGUUUUUUUUUUAACCUUAAACCGCAUAAACACAUUUCAU
rnacentral:lncRNA from 1 species